UACGAACCGUGCGAACGUUAUUCGGGAUCACUGGGCUUAAAGGGCGCGUAGGCGGGUCAUUAAGUCCGGGGUGAAAGCCCACGGCCCAACCGUGGAAGUGCCUUGGAUACUGAAGACCUCGAGGGGGAUAGGGGCGUGCGGAACUCAGGGUGGAGCGGUGAAAUGCGUAGAUAUCCUGAGGAACACCGGUGGCGAAAGCGGCGCGCUGGAUCCCUUCUGACGCUGAGGCGCGAAAGCCAGGGGAGCAAACGGG
rnacentral:rRNA from 1 species